UACGAAGGGUGCAAGCGUUGCUCGGAAUUACUGGGCGUAAAGCGUGCGCAGGCGGUCUGUUAAGACAGAUGUGAAAUCCCCGGGCUUAACCUGGGAACUGCAUUUGUGACUGGCAGGCUAGAGUAUGGCAGAGGGGGGGUAGAAUUCCACGUGUAGCAGUGAAAUGCGUAGAGAUGUGGAGGAAUACCGAUGGCGAAGGCAGCCCCCUGGGCCAAUACUGACGCUCAUGCACGAAAGCGUGGGGAGCAAACAGG
rnacentral:rRNA from 1 species